CCGGGAGAUAGAAGAAAAAGGAAAGAAAGAAAUGAAGGGAGAAAGAGAUGCAGGGAAGACGCAAAGGAGUUCUCCGUCACAUGCUUCCGUCGAUCCGAUAGUGAAACAACCUCCAAUUGUGACGAAAUUUUAGACGGUGAUAGUCUUUAACGUGGUGAACACUUCUACAAAGUUGGAUUUUCGAUCCCACUGUUGGAUUUUUCUGUACUGUAAAUGUUUGAUUCUACCACCUUUGGUAUAUGCUUUCAAAGACCUUGGCUGAGGAGGCUGCUUGGAAAUUUGCAAAAGAGAACAAGCUUGACCUUGUUGCCAUAAAUCCAGGGCUGGUGAUUGGUCCUCUCUUACAGCCAGCCCUCAAUACAAGUGUGGAGCCUGUUCUGAAACUAAUAAAUUGUAAUGUUCAGCAAAUAGUUAGUACAAUGCCUAUGUUUUAUCUUUGUGCAUCAAUAUCAUUUGAAAAAAAGGCAGUUUCUUCUUUCC